UGGCUAUUCUAGAGGUUGUGUAGGAUUGAAUGGUAAGGUUUUUGUGUUGUGCAGGAUGAUAUAGUAUCUAAUGUCGAGGCAAAACUUGCUGCGUGGACCUUUCUUCCCGAAGAAAAUGGGGAAUCCAUGCAAAUAUUGCACUAU